UACGUAGGGGGCAAGCGUUGUCCGGAUUCAUUGGGCGUAAAGAGCGUGUAGGCGGCCAGGUAGGUCGGUUGUGAAAACUCGAGGCUCAACUUCGAGCUGUCGGUGGAAACUUUCUGGCUAGAGUCCGGAAGAGGAGAAUGGAAUUCCUGGUGUAGCGGUGAAAUGCGCAGAUAUCAGGAAGAACACCCGUGGCGAAGGCGGUUCUCUGGGACGGUACUGACGCUGAGACGCGAAAGCGUGGGGAGCAAACAGG
rnacentral:rRNA from 1 species